AACGAACGCUGGCGGCAUGCCUAACACAUGCAAGUCGAACGAGACCUUCGGGUCUAGUGGCGCACGGGUGCGUAACGCGUGGGAACCUGCCCUUAGGUUCGGAAUAACUCCCCGAAAGGGGUGCUAAUACCGGAUAAUGUCUUCGGACCAAAGAUUUAUCGCCUUUGGAUGGGCCCGCGUUGGAUUAGCUAGUUGGUAGGGUAAAGGCCUACCAAGGCGACGAUCCAUAGCUGGUCUGAGAGGAUGAUCAGCCACACUGGGACUGAGACACGGCCCAGACUCCUACGGGAGGCAGCAGUGGGGAAUAUUGGACAAUGGGCGAAAGCCUGAUCCAGCAAGGCCGCGUGAGUGAUGAAGGCCUUAGGGUUGUAAAGCUCUUUUACCCGGGAUGAUAAUGACAGUACCGGGAGAAUAAGCUCCGGCUAACUCCGUG
rnacentral:rRNA from 1 species